UCAUGGGUUUGAGACUUGUGGGAGUUUACUUAUUUUGUUUCCCUCGUGGGUUGGCCAUGUAGUAGUAGUGGGGUCAUGUUGGGAUUCUGGUUAGUGGGUAGUUGGAGUUAGUUUAAAUUUGAAUUAGUGGCUUAAUUAUAAGGGUUGAUGAGAUAUUGUGUUAGUUAAUUUUGUUUUAUGUUAUUUUUAUUUUUAUUUUUAUUUUUAUUUUUAUUCUUAUUCUUAUUUUUAUUUUUAUUUUCUUUUUCCCAAAUUUCAUUCCCAGUUUCACGUUCCCACCUCUCAACUCCCAGGACAGUAUUGUUGGUUUGUUGAUUUUUUUUUUCGAACGGGUUCUUGAAAUUUGUUGGUUUGCAGUUGGGGUGAUUCAUAAGUAAUGUUCUUAUUUUUCUUUGUUUCAUUUCGGAGAAUUUCUCUUAUGGAAGUUAGAUUGCAAUUUAACGAAUGUUGGUUUAAUCGUUGGAAUUGGUUGAUUGUUUAGGAGAAGCGCAGGAAACGUUUAAUUCUUCGACGAGUUAGGUUUUAGAAAGCGUUGUUCAUUAAAGGUGAGCACUUCUGUGAAUUGGGGAUUU
rnacentral:lncRNA from 1 species